AACGCUGGCGGCAGGCUUAACACAUGCAAGUCGAGCGGGCGUAGCAAUACGUCAGCGGCAGACGGGUGAGUAACGCGUGGGAACGUACCUUUUGGUUCGGAACAACACAGGGAAACUUGUGCUAAUACCGGAUAAGCCCUUACGGGGAAAGAUUUAUCGCCGAAAGAUCGGCCCGCGUCUGAUUAGCUAGUUGGUGAGGUAACGGCUCACCAAGGCGACGAUCAGUAGCUGGUCUGAGAGGAUGAUCAGCCACAUUGGGACUGAGACACGGCCCAAACUCCUACGGGAGGCAGCAGUGGGGAAUAUUGGACAAUGGGCGCAAGCCUGAUCCAGCCAUGCCGCGUGAGUGAUGAAGGCCCUAGGGUUGUAAAGCUCUUUUGUGCGGGAAGAUAAUGACGGUACCGCAAGAAUAAGCCCCGGCUAACUUCGUGCCAGCAGCCGCGGUAAUACGAANGGGGCUAGCGUUGCUCGGAAUCACUGG
rnacentral:rRNA from 1 species